rnacentral:rRNA from 1 species
AUGGAGACAAGCAUAGUGGAAAAUUAUCAAAGGACAACAACGAACCGGAGAUGUUCUGAAAGGGUUCGUGUAUUUACCAGCCAAAGGACAAAGCCUGGAAGACCGUCAGGUCAACUACAUGAAUGGCAAGAUAAUGCUGGAUGGCAAUGGCAGUGCAGCUGGCCCUUGAGGACUCUGGUUGCUCUUGUAGUAUUAGGGGGUAGUGUUGUUGUACUCAGCGCCUAUGUAUCCAGCCUUGAGUGUGUGCGUGUGUUGUGGUGGCGUGCAUUUGUGUCUGAGUUGUGGUCGGCCAUUGCUUUAUAUAUAAAGCGGGGCGAAAGCCUUUUUCAGUAA